rnacentral:lncRNA from 1 species
CCCCAAAAAGCAAAUCAUCCUUGUUAUAACAUAACUUCCAUAGUACCAAUACAAUUUACACCAUGUAUUGCUUGCUUCAGUAAUCCAAAAAAGGAACCAAGCUUUACCAUAACAGAGCACCAAAAGUAUUCAAGCUAUACCAUUGCUCAAGCUACACCAAAUCAGAAGCUAUACCAAAAGAUUACAAAAUUUCAUCCAAAUAACCAGAAGAAGCUAUACCAAAACAUAGCUAUACAAAAUAGAGUCUAAAUAAUGUUCCCAUUAAACUACUAGUUAAAUAAAAUAACCUAAAUGCUAUUGUGUGGUAGUCCUUCCAACCUUCUUCCUUGGUGCUUUAAAUGGUUUGCAUGUUGAAUUCUGUGAAGUUUGUUGACUUGCUUGCCUUUUCCUUGUAUUCACCUGGGUUGGUGGUGUGUUGGCUUGUUUGGGUGUUAAUCAAAACAACACACACACGCAAGUGCACGUGGUCCACAAGUAA